rnacentral:rRNA from 1 species
GACGAACGCUGGCGGCGUGCUUAACACAUGCAAGUCGAACGAUGAAGCCGGAGCUUGCUCUGGUGAAUUAGUGGCGAACGGGUGAGUAACACGUGAGUAACCUGCCCUUGACUCUGGGAUAACUGCGGGAACCUGUAGCUCAUACCGGAUACGACCCUCGGAGGCAUCUCCUGGGGGUGGAAAGAAUUUCGGUCAAGGAUGGACUCGCGGCCUAUCAGCUAGUUGGUGAGGUAAAGGCUCACCAAGGCGACGACGGGUAGCCGGCCUGAGAGGGUGACCGGCCACACUGGGACUAAGACACGGCCCAGACUCCUACGGGAGGCAGCAGUGGGGAAUAUUGCACAAUGGGCGCAAGCCUGAUGCAGCAACGCCGCGUGAGGGAUGACGGCCUUCGGGUUGUAAACCUCUUUUAGCAGGGAAGAAGCGAAAGUGACGGUACCUGCAGAAAAAGCACCGGCUAACUACGUGCCAGCCGCCGCCGUAA